CCUACGGGUGGCAGCAGUGGGGAAUAUUGCACAAUGGGGGAAACCCUGAUGCAGCGACGCCGCGUGAGCGAUGAAGUAUUUCGGUAUGUAAAGCUCUAUCAGCAGGGAAGAAAAUGACGGUACCUGACUAAGAAGCCCCGGCUAACUACGUGCCAGCAGCCGGGGUAAUGUGUAGGGGGCAAGCGUUAUCCGGAUUUACUGGGUGUAAAGGGAGCGUAGACGGCGAUGCAAGCCAGAUGUGAAAGCCCGGGGACCAACCCCGGGACUGCAUUUGGAACUGGAAAGCUGGAGUGUCGGAGAGGCAGGCGGAAUUCGUAGUGUAGCGGUGAAAUGCGUAGAUAUUAGGAGGAACACCAGUGGCGAAGGCGGCCUGCUGGACGAUGACUGACGUUGAGGCUCGAAAGCGUGGGGAGCAAACAGGAUUAGAUACCCCAGUAGUC
rnacentral:rRNA from 1 species